rnacentral:misc_RNA from 1 species
UCUCCGUAGGUGAACCUGCGGAGGGAUCAUUACAGAGUUCAUGCCCUAACGGGUAGAUCUCCCACCCUAUGUUAUCAUCACUUUGUUGCUUUGGUGGGCCGUCAGGCCUCGGCUUGGCUACCGGCUCUCGCUGGUAAGCGCCCGCCAGAGAACCCCAAACCCUGAAUAUCAGUGUCGUCUGAGUACUAUAUAAUAGUUAAAACUUUCAACAACGGAUCUCUUGGUUCUG